GUAUAUGAUGAUUUACCACAUUUAUCACGACGGUCUACUGUGCUAGGAGAAUUGUAAUCUCCUAGCGUUGAUGAUAUACUCGGCCUUGACCGGCCGUGGUUACUGAAA
rnacentral:snoRNA from 1 species